rnacentral:rRNA from 1 species
ACGAACGCUGGCGGCGUGCCUAACACAUGCAAGUCGAGCGAGAAAGCCCGCAAGGGUGAGUAAAGCGGCGAACGGGUGAGUAAACACGUAGGUAACCUACCCUUGAGACCGGGACAAACCUGUCGAAAGACGGGCUAAUACCGGAUAAGACCACGUUCUCUCUUCGGAGGAUGAGGUAAAAGUUGGCCUCUGUAUACACGCUAACGCUUAUUGAUGGGCCUGCGCACCAUUAGCUAGUUGGUAAGGUAACGGCUUACCAAGGCUACGAUGGUUAGCUGAUCUGAGAGGAUGAUCAGCCACACUGGAACUGAAACACGGUCCAGACUCCUACGGGAGGCAGCAGUGGGGAAUUUUGCGCAAUGGGGGAAACCCUGACGCAGCAACGCCGCGUGAGCGAUGAAGGCCUUCGGGUCGUAAAGCUCUGUCGGAGGGAACGAAACCUUCCGGGGUGAACAAUCCCGGGAUUUGACGGUACCCUCAAAGGAAGCACCGGCUAACCACGUGCCAGCAGCCGCGGUAAUACGUGGGGUGCAAGCGUUUGUUCGGAAUUACUACUGGGCGUAAAAGCGCGUGUAGGCGGCCAAACGGGUCCGGUGUGAAAGCCCUCGGCUUAACCGAGGAAGUGCGCCGGAAACUAUUUGGCUAGAGUACAGGAGAGGAGGACGGAAUUCCCAGUGUAGAGGUGAAAUUCGUAGAUAUUGGGAGGAACACCGGCGGCGAAAGCGGUUCUCUGGACUGUAACUGACGCUGAGACGCGAAAAGCGUGGGGAUCAAACAGGAUUAGAUACCCUGGUAGUCCACGCCGUAAACGAUGGGUACUAGGUGUUGUGAGCUUAACACUCGCAGUGCCGACGCUAACGCAUUAAGUACCCCCGCCUGGGGAGUACGGUCGCAAGAUUAAAACUCAAAGGAAUUGACGGGGGGCCCGCACAAGCGGUGGAGCAUGUGGUUCAAUUCGACGCAACGCGAAGAACCUUACCUGGGCUUGACAUCUGGAGAACUCCCUAGAAAUAGGGAGGUGCUCGCAAGAGAACUCCAAGACAGGUGCUGCAUGGCUGUCGUCAGCUCGUGUCGUGAGAUGUUGGGUUAAGUCCCGCAACGAGCGCAACCCCCUAUCUUUAGUUGCCAUCAUUUAGUUGGGCACUCUAGAGAGACUGCCCCGGUUAACGGGGAGGAAGGUGGGGACGACGUCAAGUCCUCAUGGCCUUUAUUGCCCAGGGCCACACACGUGCUACAAUGGGCGGUACAAAAGGGAUGCAAACCCGCGAGGGGGAGCCAAUCCUUUAAAAAACCGUUCUAAGUUCGGAUUGGAGUCUGCAACUCGACUCCAUGAAGCUGGAAUCGCUAGUAAUCGCGGACCAGAACGCCGCGGUGAAUACGUUUCCCGGGGCCUUGUACACACCGCCCGUCACACCACGAAAGUGAGUUAUACCAGAAGCCGGUACGCUAAACCCGCAAGGGGGGCAGCCGUUCAAGGUAUGGGCCCAUGAUUGGGGUG